AGAUCGCAGUCUGCAACCCGACUGCGUGAAGUCGGAAUCGCUAGUAAUCGCGGAUCAGCAUGCCGCGGUGAAUACGUUCCCGGGCCUUGUACACACCGCCCGUCACACCAUGGGAGCCGGUAAUACCCGAAGUCAGUAGUCUAACCGCAAGGAGGACGCUGCCGAAGGUAGGAUUGGCGACUGGGGUGAAGUCGUAACAAGGUAAC
rnacentral:rRNA from 1 species